UAGGUUGUUGUCCUAUAAAGCUGUUCAAGUUCCUCUCUUCACAAGAACAUCUUCCUGCUCUCCCUGCUGCUCAUAAACAUUAUGUUAGAUCGAGAUGAAGGCUUUGAACAAUUUCCUUAUCAGACAUUUUCUCCUACAACCAUGAAGUAUGGAAAUGCAGUUCUUAAAAAUGGUGAAAGAGAAAAAGAAAAGAAAAGAAAAGAAAAGAAAAGAAAAGAAAAGAAAAGAAAGAAAGAAAGAAAGAAAGAAAAGAAAGAAAGAAAAGAAAGAAAGAAAGAAAGAAAGAGAAAAAAGAAAAAGAAAGAAAGAAAGAGAAAGAAAGAAAGAAAGAAAGAAAGAAAGAAAGAAAGAAAGAAAGAAAGAAAGAAAGAAAGAAAGAAAGAAAGAAAGAAAGAAAGAAAGAAAGAAAGAAAGUUGAGAUUCAGUCAUAACCAUGUGAAUCCUGAAGCUGGGGCUAGAAGAUACACAUAGUUGAAGCCCUGGGAGUAUAAUGGCACUGCCCUGCAGGUAUAAUGAAUUUCAGUUUUUUUUGUUUUUGCAAUACAACUGAACUCAAAUGUUUCUCCUUCCCUUAGCUCUGAUGAGCUUUUUUCAGGCCAGUGUGGCCUCUUCAGGGCUGAAUCACAUUUCGAAUAGGGCUGGAGCCAGGUAAGAGAGAUGCUUCCAACAAUGUUACUUGAACUUCAUGUUCUAUUUCACCCAAACAGUGUGGAGAGAUGCAGAAAAACUACAGCUUCAGUCAUUUUUCAACAGGAAAAGAGAUUUUCAAUUACAUAAAACAAGGUGCAUAAAAAAGUCACUGUGAAUUAAGUCUAGCACCAUUUUGAAGUUACCUAAAAAGGUUUGAUCAUGAAAGAUACUUGUUAUUUAAAUUUUACCUAUUUUUAAAAUUGUAAAACUUACCUAGCCUGAAAUUUCUUUAGAAAAUCAUUUAUCUAAGGAAAAAACUAAAAAAAAAAAAAUCUCAAAAAUAAAAAAAAAAAAUCAAAAUGGGAUUUAUCUGAA
rnacentral:lncRNA from 1 species